AUCCCAGAUAAGCUUUCAUUGUGUUAUCUGAUUCAUGGGAGGCCAAUAUGGAUGAUGGAAGUUUCGCUGAUAGCACCUUUUUUUCGGCUUUUACAAAGGUCUUUUAAUAGUAGCUUUCCAUAUAAAA